rnacentral:lncRNA from 1 species
GUAACACUCAUCCACAGAAAGCUUGAUUUUUGUUGAGCCUAGGUGGUUAAGUGGUCUAUACUAUGCUACGUUAUCUCAGUGGCACGAGUUCGAAUCCCGGUCAGGGAAGAACAAAAAUUUGCUUCUACAGAUCUAACAUUGUUGUGCUGUUAUUUAGACGAAUUAUAUAUAUAGUUUAAAGAUAAAAAAAAAAAACACAAAAAAUAAAUUCACAUUAUAAAUCGAAAAUCGUUUUGUAGCGCUUUUACUGCAUCUGCUACGGUUAAUCAGACAAUAUUAUAAAUAAAACGAAAAUAUUUAAAGAGAAGUAAUAAAAAGAGCAUAUAGCCGGGAAGAUUGAGUACAAACUGACACAAAAAACAUUCAACGACGACGACGAACAAUUGAAACGCCUUUGUUGUAUUUCAUUUGAAACUGAACUAUUUUGUUCACUUUUUAAUCAUAAUACGAAAAAAAUAAAAAAAAAUUUAAUAAUCAAACAUGUUAUAAAUCACAAAAACGUAUAUUCAUUAAAACUAUCCUAAAAAAAAGUCAAUAGUCCAUAUUGUAGUUUCAAUUAUAACACGUGUCUUUAAUUUGAGUAGUGUCCGAAGUUCCCCAUUUAUACGUCCGAAUUUCCCCAUUGUUGUCCGAAUUUCCCCAAUGGCCACGAUCUUCAGAUAAUCGUUAUGGAUUGGUCCACCAAUCACAGGUAAGUAUGUGCCAAUAGCUAUUUUAGGUCAGGAAAAUCCUCUUCUAUCAUGAUGAUUGGUCGUUUGAAACUUUGGGGGUUCUAACUUCUCUUAAAUUAAAACGCAUUUGAGACAAAUUACGAAGUGUCCGAACUUCCCCAUCUUUACC